rnacentral:misc_RNA from 1 species
GAUGAAUAACGCAGCGAAAUGCGAUAAGUAAUGUGAAUUGCAGAAUUCAGUGAAUCAUCGAAUCUUUGAACGCACAUUGCGCCCCCUGGUAUUCCGGGGGGCAUGCCUGUUCGAGCGUCAUUUCACCACUCAAGCCUCGCUUGGUAUUGGGCAACGCGGUCCGCCGCGUGCCUCAAAUCGACCGGCUGGGUCUUCUGUCCCCUAAGCGUUGUGGAAACUUUCGCUAAAGGGUGUUCGGGAGGCUACGCCGUAAAACAACCCCAUUUCUAAGGUUGACCUCGGAUCAGGUAGGGAUACCCGCUGAACUUAAGCAUAUCAAUAAGCGGAGGA